GGUGUAUUCCUUCUUCUAUGUUGUUGAAAAUUCCCUGAAACUGAGACUGUAAAGUGUUCCACAAGUUAACAACAGGAUACGGAGAUUUUUCAUCGUCCUUUUUCCCAACUAAAAGAAAGAUCGAGUCUCAUCUGAUGUAGUCGAUGGUCAGUAAGAACGAACAACUUACUUUUACCAACUACAAAGUCCUUGAUGUCUCCAUCAAAGUUCACAUCAUCACCACAAAUGCAAUGUUUCAAAAGUACAAGUAUUCCAAGGUUUUUAUUGUUUUUUCAUACUUGGCCAGGUGUGUUCUAUGGACGGAUGCAGAACAAAUCCUUUGUAUUCCCCAUUCCAAGAACAUAAUUACCAAUCGUGAUCUGAAAUGACAAUGAAACUGUCUUUUC